rnacentral:rRNA from 1 species
UAGGGAAUAUUGGACAAUGGGCGCAAGCCUGAUCCAGCCAUGCCGCGUGAGUGAAGAAGGCCCUCGGGUUGUAAAGCUCUUUUGUCCGGAAAGAAAAAGCAUCGGGCUAAUACCCUGGUGUUCUGACGGUACCGGAAGAAUAAGCACCGGCUAACUUCGUGCCAGCAGCCGCGGUAAUACGAAGGGUGCAAGCGUUACUCGGAAUUACUGGGCGUAAAGCGUGCGUAGGUGGUUUGUUAAGUCUGAUGUGAAAGCCCUGGGCUCAACCUGGGAAUGGCAUUGGAAACUGGCGGACUCGAGUGCGGUAGAGGGGUGUGGAAUUCCCGGUGUAGCAGUGAAAUGCGUAGAGAUCGGGAGGAACACCAGUGGCGAAGGCGACACCCUGGACCAGCACUGACACUGAGGCACGAAAGCGUGGGGAGCAAACAGGAUUAGAUACCCUGGUAGUCCACGCCCUAAACGAUGCGAACUGGAUGUUGGGUGCAACUUGGCACUCAGUAUCGAAGCUAACGCGUUAAGUUCGCCGCCUGGGGAGUACGGUCGCAAGACUGAAACUCAAAUGAAUUGACGGGGUCAUAGCUG